rnacentral:rRNA from 1 species
GUGCCCGCACAAGCAGCGGAGCGUGUGGUUUAAUUCGAUGCAACACGAAGAACCUUACCAGGGUUUGACAUGUAUGAAGUAGUGAACCGAAAGGGGAACGACCUGUUAAGUCAGGAGCUUACACAGGUGCUGCAUGGCUGUCGUCAGCUCGUGCCGUGAGGUGUCGGGUUAAGUCCCAUAACGAGCGCAACCCCUGUUGCCAGUUGUUUUCUCUGGCGAGACUGCCCCGCACAACGGGGAGGAAGGCGGGGAUGACGUCAAGUCAGUAUGGCCUUUAUGCCCUGGGCUACACACACGCUACAAUGGACGGUACAAUGGGUUGCAAUGGAGCGAUUCGGAGCUAAUCCUUUAAAACCGCCCUCAGUUCGGAUUGUAGGCUGAAAUUCGCCUGCAUGAAGUUGGAGUUGCUAGUAACCGUGCAUCAGCUUGGCACGGUGAAUACGUUCUCGGGCAUU